rnacentral:rRNA from 1 species
UACGUAGGCAGCGAGCGUUGUUCGGAAUUACUGGGCGUAAAGAGUGUGUAGGCGGUGUUCCCAGUCUGUUGUGAAAUCUCCCGGCUUAACUGGGAGGGUGCAGCGGAAACUAGAAUGCUAGAGGGUGGGAGAGGUAAGCGGAAUUCCUGGUGUAGCGGUGAAAUGCGUAGAUAUCAGGAGGAACACCAGUGGCGAAGGCGGCCGGCUGGGGGUGCCCUGACGCUGAGGCGCGAAAGCGUGGGGAGCGAACCGG